AUUGAGGUCUAUCCCGAAGGGCCUUUCUCUGUAGAUUAACAUCAUUGGAAACACCCCACAGAGGUAUGUUGUUGUUCAGCUUUAUUAACAUAAUUAUUUGUUGUAUCUGUGAGAAGGAACUACAGAGAUAAUU
rnacentral:snoRNA from 1 species